GAUAAUUAUGGUUAUACAUGUAAAAAGAAAAUAAAAAGUGAAAACUUAGAAUCGAUUUAUAGUAUAGACGAAAGUAUAAAAGAAUUUAUGAAAAGCGCGACAAGUCCCUCAAGCCCUUUUCAAAGAACAACCGAUAUGCAAAACGUACCAUUAACAAUAAAAAAUUUACCAAGACAUAGAGUAUUUAGAACAAACCCAAACACUCUGACAGAACAAGACAUAAAACCUAGAGGA
rnacentral:lncRNA from 1 species